rnacentral:rRNA from 1 species
GAUGAACGCUAGCGGCAGGCCUAAUACAUGCAAGUCGGACGGGAUUCAGGAGCUUGCUUCUGAUGAGAGUGGCGCACGGGUGCGUAACACGUAUGUAACCUACCUUUAUCAGGGGGAUAGCCUCUCGAAAGAGAGAUUAAGCCCGCAUAAAAUCACAGCACAGCAUUGUGUAAUGAUCAAAUAUUUAUAGGAUAAAGAUGGGCAUGCGGAACAUUAGCUAGAUGGCGGGGUAACGGCCCACCAUGGCGACGAUGUUUAGGGGAUCUGAGAGGAUGGCCCCCCACACUGGUACUGAGACACGGACCAGACUCCUACGGGAGGCAGCAGUAAGGAAUAUUGGUCAAUGGGCGGAAGCCUGAACCAGCCAUGCCGCGUGCAGGAAGCCGGCCCUACGGGUUGUAAACUGCUUUUAGACGGGAAUAAACCCAGAUACGUGUAUCUGGCUGAAUGUACUGUAAGAAUAAGGAUCGGCUAACCCCGUG